ACACACUGAGCAUACACUUGUUCAUUCGCACACGGUCAGCAUUCCUCCGUGUGGGGUUAACGAGACGGCCGUUCGCCCCAAAACUAGCCCUGACCUCUCAACCGAUCCCUCAUGCUUGGAAUUGGCCGUCCCCUGACCCUGUUCUUUUCCCCUCCACCCGAGUUCUCCUUCUCCGGCAUCGGUAACUAUUCCGGUAAAUUCACCUUGAUCAGGUAUUAACCUUGUUCUCUAAUAUUUUGUUUUCUCAUUUCAGAUACCUUGUCGUUCAGGUUCAGCCGUUCAGGUGCUUGAAGCGCCUAAACCUUACAAAUAACGAACGGCUUGUAUCUGUGUGGGCCGAUACUAUAGUGGGUUGAAGUUGAAGGGUGAGAGGUCUGAGAUCCAAAGUGGGUUUACCGAUUGGUUAAGUUGAUCUGGUUGUGGGACGGUUGUAUGAAACUAAUUUGGAUCCGAUCCAGAGUCGCUUUCAGGCAUUUGGUAUGUCAUGUCCGUAAGCUCUGUACCUCAAAAUCAGCAAUCACAAAGAAUAUAUUAUAUAUUGACCUUUAACAUCUCACAAACAGACAGCGAUUCUGUGAUUCUGUUGUGUCAUUCCAUUCAUAUUGUGAAUAAACACUUAUUCUGGCACCCUAAACACUCGGUUCCGGCCGGUUGAUACUUGAAAGYCGAGCCUCUACAUUGUAUUUACAACAACGCCGCAAGAACUCUUAUAUAGAAAAAGAACAAAAGAAGGCAGCAAAAUCUGAAAAAAUACAGGGAACUUAUAGACACUUGUGUAUUUAUAUAUCACUAUCAUCAGUAUUCUUUUUCAUUAACUUGCGCCUCUUGUUAGCAUCCCAUUAUUGUAGAUAUGAAAUCUGUCUUUUUCUUUUUCAUCAUCAUCAGCUUUGAUGAAAAAAAACUGUCCCUGCCGCCUUGGUUACAGAUUUUAUCUAUACAUGAAUCCUCAAAAUAUGAGUGUUGGAAAAUACCUGAUUAAGGUGAACUCACCGGAGCGGUCGCUGGUGCCGGAGAAGGAGAGUUCGGAUGAAGGGGAGAAGAACGGGGUCAGGGGACGGACAGUUCAAGUACGAGGGAUCGGUUAAAGGGGCGGAAAUGUAGAAAUGAGGGUUUUGGGUUAGUUUUGGGGUUAACGGCCGUCCCGUUAGCCCCGCACACGGGAAUGCCAACCACGUGCAAAUGAACAGAUGGCGGACGCUCGAUGUAUGGGGCGUUUGUGUGGAGGGGGUGGGGAGCAGAUUUGAACUGUUCAAUAACAUGAGGGUGCAUGAGUGCCCCUCGAUUCUACUGUUUUAAAGACAAACUCGACAUCCUUCGAUCAUUAUCCGACACGUGGUGCUGGAUAGCAGCCCCACUUAUAGACGUGGCAAGUUUAACUGAAAUAGAGAUCUAACGCAUGAUGAUUUUCCAGUAUCAUGCCAUGUCUUCCCGACAGCAUAGCCACGCGGUUGAUAUUGACGAAAAGAUCAUAAAAACGACUCAUCCUGAUGAGAUGGACGGUCUUGAUCUUCCGAUCACCAUUAGGCAUUAGCAGCACAGAAUAGAAUACAUUCGCGUUGCUCAUCGUAUUAGUGACCGCACGACGAGAUUUCCCGCUUCGUUGAGGGAUGAUGGAAUUCUCGCUUGGAUGGAGUGGGUUUGAGAUCUUUUGUCCUUGAGAUUUGGAAAAGAAUGUCGGGUGAUAUCAAUGAUCUGGAUGCUGAGAAAUUAAAGAUUCUGAUUGUAAGGUGAAAGGAAUCGACUCUUCCCUGUUUCUCAGAAUUGAAGAGCAUCGGAGGACGCAUCCGAUUCAAGAAACAUUUUAGCGAGGCAAGCGUUUUAUCCAGUUUUUAAAGAGUUUCAUGGCGAUUCCUUCUGAACAAAUCACAAGCAUCUGUAGUCACUGUGGCAAAGCUAUUCCAGCCCAAAAUAUUGACUUGCACUAUGCACACUGCUCCCGGAAUCUGGAAAAAUGUAAAGUUUGUGGAGAUAUGGUACCCAAAAGGCAUGCUGAAGAACAUUACUUCAAUACACAUGCCCCGGUAUCUUGUUCACUAUGCAGUGAGACGGUAGAUCGUGAAAUAUUAAUUCUCCAUAGAGAUGAAAAUUGCCCCCAAAGGAUUGUCACUUGUGAAUAUUGUGAAUUCCCUUUGCCUGCAGUUGAUCUCUUCAAGCAUCAGGAAGUAUGUGGCAAUCGGACAGAAUAUUGUCAUCUCUGUGGCAGGUACAUUAGGCUGUGUGAGCGAAGUGGCCAUGAAACCAGGUGUCAUGUUAGUUCAAAUAGUGUUGCUGGACCUUCCAGGCCAUUUGGAAGCGAACAAGGAUGGGGGUUGUUCUACCUUCUUGAGGAGCUUCAGGAAGUAUGAUUAUCAAGUGGGAUGAAGGAAAUUCGUGAGUUGAAGGAUAAAUUGAUGGUUUCCAAUUUGUCUGGUUCAACAACACUCAACAGUAGAUAUGAUGGUCUCAAAUGGAUUUCCAUGGGUAUAUGGACCCAACUCACCACAUAUUCCUAGAAGCACCUUGUUGGAGGAACUGACUAUUGGGAUGGGCAGUUGGGCAAAGUUGCAUUGAGUUUCUGUUCAGUUCAAAUGUUCAAUAGUAGGGAUGGUCAUGGUGUCGUGUGGAUUUUCAUAGGUACAUGGACCUAACUUACCUAGUUGGUCGGCUAUUCCAAGAUGCACCUUGUGAGAGUAACCCAAGCUUCUACUGGUUUGGGCAGUUAGGCACUGGGGAGACUUCAACAUGACUGCAUUUGUGCGCGGGAAGUCCCGUAAAGACGGAAUAAUUGAAGUAUCAGUCAGAUUUGUUUUUUGUCAGUUUGGGACCCACUGGAACGCAAAUUCAUCUGAAAGAGAUGAAGAUGCUCGAAGAAGACAACCACAUGAUCUAUCACGGAGGCGCUUAGUGUUUACAAUUGCAA